CUCCAGUAUUCUGACCUGGAGAAUUCCAUAGUCCAUGGGGUCACAAAGAGUCAGACACAACUGAGCAACUUCCACUUCGCUUGCAUAUAUACGCACCAUGAAGUCUUUAUUCAUCCACCAAGGGACACUCGGUUGUGUCCAUGUCUUGUGAGUAAUGCUGCAGCAAACACAAGUAUGCAAAUAUAUCUUCAAGAUCCUGAUUUCUAUUCUGGUGGGUCAUAUGUCUUUCUGAAUCAGGAACUAAUGAAUCCCAGCACCUUGCUGGAUGCAGAGGAGGCUCAAACGUCGCUUGAUGACGGGGGAUCUUCCUGAUCCAGGGAUCAAACCUGGGUCUCCUGCACUGCAGGCAGAGUCUUCACCACGGAGC
ensembl:lncRNA